GUGGGGAAUUUUGGACAAUGGGCGCAAGCCUGAUCCAGCAAUGCCGCGUGCAGGAAGAAGGCCUUCGGGUUGUAAACUGCUUUUGUACGGAACGAAACGGUCCGGGUUAAUACCCUGGGCUAAUGACGGUACCGUAAGAAUAAGCACCGGCUAACUACGUGCCAGCAGCCGCGGUAAUACGUAGGGUGCAAGCGUUAAUCGGAAUUACUGGGCGUAAAGCGUGCGCAGGCGGUUUUGUAAGACAGGCGUGAAAUCCCCGGGCUCAACCUGGGAAUUGCGCUUGGGACUGCAAGGCUGGAGUGCGGCAGAGGGGGAUGGAAUUCCGCGUGUAGCAGUGAAAUGCGGAGAUAUGCGGAGGAACACCGAUGGCGAAGGCAAUCCCCUGGGCCUGCACUGACGCUCAUGCACGAAAGCGUGGGGAGCAAACAGGAUUAGAUACCCCUGUAGUCC
rnacentral:rRNA from 1 species